CUAUCUACGGCGGUACAUAUUUUACAAUUGGAAUGAUAGAGAAGAUUAGCAUGGCCCCUAUGCAAAGAUGACAUGCAAAUUCAUGAAGUGCUCCAUAUUUUU